rnacentral:rRNA from 1 species
UACGGAGGGUGCAAGCGUUAUCCGGAUUCACUGGGUUUAAAGGGUGCGUAGGUGGGUUGGUAAGUCAGUGGUGAAAUCUCCAGGCUUAACUUGGAAACUGCCAUUGAUACUAUCAAUCUUGAAUACCGUGGAGGUCAGCGGAAUAUGUCAUGUAGCGGUGAAAUGCUUAGAUAUGACAUAGAACACCAAUUGCGAAGGCAGCUCGCUACACGAAUAUUGACACUGAUGCACGAAAGCGUGGGGAUCAAACAGG